GCAUUAGUGGUUCACUGGUAGAAUUCUUGCCUUCCAUGAGGGAGUCCUGGGUUCGAUUUUCAGCUAGUGCA
rnacentral:tRNA from 1 species